ACAAGGUUACUAGAUGGUCUGGAAAUUUUACUGAGUGCAGACUACUACACCUGCAUAUGAAUCUCAGGGAGAACCGAGUACCAUGUGCAACAGCAGUCACUAAGCGUCUCAGGUCAACUGUUUUGGAGUUGUGCUCUCAAGUGCUGCCAAAUGGCCCCUGUAGCCUUAUCACUGAGGAAGUAGAAGACCUCCUGCCAAACUUUAAAGAUCCACUUUAAGAAGUUGUUAAAAAGCCCAAAACACUGAAUGGUUUCUUCGGAAGUGAUCAUGCCAAAUAAAGAGAAAAGCAGGUAUGGUCUUUCUCCCCCCAAGGAAAAAGUCUCUCUCUUUUAUUUACUUAGUUAGGAACUGACGCACGUACGGAACACAUUUUAGGACGUCCUUCAUGCGAUGUCCUAUGCAUUCGGAAUGGCGCAUCGGUUGCUUUUGCCGUCACCCAUCGUCCAAAUCCACAUUCACAACUCUGUCCUUUACCCUCCCUUCUCAGCCGUCAGUCAUACGAACACCGCCCUCAGCCUUCUGCCCUCAGUCUUCCUAUAUGCAGGAAACUAUAGGCCGAUAUCUUUAAUAAACACAGAUGUUAAGCUGCUGGCCAAAAUUCUGGCAAACAAGCUCAAUACAAUUAUAACCCGGUUAGUACAUCCAGGCUAAACUGGUUUCAUCCCGGAAAGGCAGACUACAGAUAAUAUUAGGAGAAUAUUAAACACAAUGGCAUUAACCAAAACAAGGAAGGUGUCGUCAAGCUGUCACUAGAUGCUGAAAACAGAGUUCGACAGAUUUGACUGGCUGUACCUUCAAUGUGUGCUUACAAAAUUUGGCCUCCCUCAUAAAUUUCUCACAGCAGUCGCAAAUUUAUACUCAAACCCCACAGCAAAGGUAUGCAAUUUAGGCAUUUCCUCAGAGGACUUCCCUAUAAAGGCUGCCCGCUCUCACCACUACUCUUCAGCCAUUGUAUAGAACCCCUGGCCAUAAUGGUUAGAACAGACCCCUCAAUCCAUGGGAUAGAAAUAGGGCAAGAAAAUUACAAAGUUGCUUUAUUUGCAGAUGAUACUAUUUUUACCUUAACACUCCCAUUAAUAUCACUCCUGAAUUUAUUUCUGUGCAUUGCAAAAUUCUGCAUGGUCUCAGGUUUCCGUAUUAAUCAUUCCAAAAUUCCAGUAGCUACCCCCCUCAAACUACUUAUACUGAAUUUCAACUUUAAAUGGAUAGAUACAGGAAUGAAGAAUUUAUGGGUUAGACUGGCAGAUAAACCAGGUAAACUUCACCAACUUAAUAUUGAAGCAACAUUGCUAUGAUUUUAUUUUCACUGUACGUUUUGAUAUAUUAUUU